AGGUAGUAAGUAGCUUAGUGGUAGAACAUAUGCUUUGCAUGCAGAAGGCCCCAUGUUCAAUCCUGGAUUAUUCA